UGUGCAUUUGGGAUCCCCAAUGGCCAAAGCAAUGGGAGCCCAACUUGGGGUGCUGUGUGCUUCCAAAGGGCCGGACCCCAAACUCAUGUGGGGUUGGGAUCCCCAUAGACCAAAGCAAUGGGACCCCAACUUGGGGUGCUCUGUGGUUCCGAAGGGCCGGACCCCAAACUCAUGUGGGGUUGGGAACCCCAAAGACCGAAGGGGUGGAUCCCAAACUCACAGGGUGUGGGGGUCCCCAAUGGCCAAAGCAAGGGGACCCCAACUUUGGGUGCUCUGUGGUUCCGAAGGGCCGGACCCCAAAAUGAUGUGGGGUUGGGAUCCCCAAUGGCCAAAGCAGUGGGACCCCAACUUGGGGUGCUCUGUGGUUCCUAAGGGCCGGACCCCAAACUCAUGUGUGGUUGGGAACCCCAAAGACCAAAGGGGUGGACCCCAAAUUCACUGUGCAUUGGGAUCCCCAAUGGCCAAAGCAAUGGGAACCCAACUUGGGGUGCUGUGUGGUUCCUAAGGGCCGGACCCCAAAAUGAUGUGGGGUUGGGAUCCCCAAUGGCCAAAGCAAUGGGACCCACACUUGGGGUGCUCUGUGGUUCCGAAGGGCCGGACCCCAAACUCAUAUAGGGUUAGGAUCCCCAUAGACCAAAGGGGUGGACCCCAAAUUCACUGUGCAUUGGGAUCCCCAAUGGCCAAAGCAAUGGGACCCCAAUUUGGGGUGUCCCGGGGUCCAUCAUGGCCCGAUCCCAAACUUGGGGUGUGUUGGGAUCCCCAUUAACCCCAUGGAUGGAUCCACACUGCAUUGGGAUUUGUAAUGUCGGGGUGCAUUUGGGAUCCCCAAUGGCCAAAGCAAGGGGACCCCAACUUGGGGUGCUCUGUGGUUCCGAAGGGCCGGACCCCAAAAUGAUGUGGGGUUGGCAUCCCCAAUGGCCAAAGCAAUGGGAGCCCAACUUGGGGUGCUCUGUGGUUCCUAAGGGCCGGACCCCAAACUCAUGUGUGGUUGGGAACCCCAAAGACCAAAGGGGUGGACCCCAAAUUCACUGUGCAUUGGGAUCCCCAAUGACCCCACAGAUGAAUCCCAAACCUGUCGUGAAUUGGGGUCCCCUAUAACCCAGCAGAUGGAUCCCAAACCCGUGGUGCAUUGGGAUCCCCAAUG
ensembl:lncRNA